UUAGUUAAUUGAUGCUACGUUUGGCGUCCACUAUUCCAUUUGCGGCUAAGGAUUUUCUUUCUUAUUUUAUUGUCAACCAGUUUCAUCAUGAAACAGGCCAGGUGCAUUUUUCUCCAGUAGCACUACUUGAAACGGUGCGUACCUUCCUCAGAGGAGGUUAAAGGUCCGUCCAAGUGCACCAAGUAUGUGAUAGGCCUCUUGAAGACCUUUUUCCUCCACACAAGUUUUCAUUCACAUGCAAUUAAUGUAGCUUAAUGGACGAAAUGAUUCUAAUAGGUUGCAAAAAAACACCAGAGAUGGCAGAACACGAGUAGAAAUUGGGUCGUUUCAAUAAUCCUGGAGUUCACUAGGUGUAGAACGCAAGGCGGACAAGGCGGAUUACGAAAAACUUCCAAAAUCUCUCCACAAUUUAUUGAACUGUUUUUAAAAUUUUUAUUCAUUGAUUUUUUUUUUUUUUUUACAGCGACGGACUUUGGGGUGGUAGUAAUAACCUGUUUAAUAAGUAGCGUGUUAGUGUAAGUCACCAGAGCAUACGUCCUAUCCGAUGUCAUUCAUUAAGGACAUUUAUAUUUUGGUUGAAAUUUAAGCGUCAAAGGGAGUGGAUAAUGUGGAUUUCGGACUUGCCUACAAUUCUGUACCACGCAAGCUUGUCACAGCUCUCCAACGUGGCAGCUGAAAAAGGAAUAACAUUUACGAUAGCGUUUGCAGGCUCAGCCACCCAUCUGGACUGGACGAAUGCAUCCUGGAGAUCUUUGCCAUGAGCCUCCAAGUAUGAGUGCAGAGAAGGAAGACAUCUACAUGUAUCCACAAAUAAUGUUGAUAAAAUGUGCACAAGUUUGCAAAGAAAAUAAAAAUAAUUGCUUUAGUUGCUACAUGGCCUAAUUGAGGAGAGCUGGUUUUAUCCGAUGGCACGUUUAAGGGGAAAAAUAGUUAUCAGACCCCCCAUGAUAACUAUUUUAUUCCAAAAAUAAAUUAAAGAUUGAGAAACUAAGUGCCUUCAUGAAACAAAACAAACAUAGGCCACCCUUUUUAUCAUAUCAUCCUACACAGUCUUAUACAGCUGGGUGAGUUCAUAGAUUUUGGACCCCUGGACUUGCCACCCGUGGUCUUAUGCUGAGUAAACAUGUGUACAGAAAUGUUUUUUUUAUACAGAACCAAAGGUGCAUUUUGUAUAUUAAAAAAGGUAAAUAUAUUAUCUUAAGCCACUAUUAGAGAUAAUAUAAAUAGUAAAAAAAAAAUUAAUAGCACGUAACAUUGAGUUAAUUUUUAUGACAUAUUAACAGUGGCUAGUAAAAAAACAUCUGUGUACAUUUACAGUGAGUACCAUAAUGCUUAGGACAAUGACAUGAUUUGUAUCUGUACUCCACAAUUUUAGAUUUGUAAUCAAAUAAUUCACAUGAGGCUUCAGUGCAUAUUCUCAGCUUUUAUUCAAGAGUAUUGAGAUUCAUUUAGGUUUCACCAUGUAGAAAUUCCUGCUUUAUGACCUACUCUCUGGGGAGUUAUUUAUGGAGCUCUCUGUCUCUAAAGUAGGAAAAGUGUGGAACCUGCUGCUCCCUGUAGUUGUUUUAACAUGAGGUUAUUUUAUGCCAAUUUAUUAAGGGGGGUUGGAGCCCCCACGCAAAUUAGGAUGCUGAUUAGAUUUUUUUUUUUCUCAUGUUUUUUUCAAUGUCAAAGUCAGCUCUACCACACAGUUGAGAAGACUGUUAAAGGGAAUUGCUCGGUAAGGGAUAAACCAUCAGAUUUUGCAGAUAGAAGAGACCUUAAAGAAUAGAAAUAUAAAGUUAAUUAUGAGAAAUAUAAUGUAUAAGUUCUUGGAGGUGGUAGGCUGAAACGUGUCCAAAUAAUAAUCAGGUUGAUGACAAAGUUUAAUAAAAUAGAAUUCAUUAAACAAAAAAAUACAUUUAAACUAAAUGACUAUAAGGGAUUAUAUGGAAAAUGGACUGGAGUGUGUGUGUGUGUGUGUGUGUGUGUGUGUACUCAUCAGCAUGUGGUGCAGGGGAAUUGUGUGUACCAACGGCAACCAGAGUUAGGGACGUCUAACUAAUCCCAGUGAGCCUUCACAUUGUAAAGACACAAAACCAUAUAUCUAAUGAUAUUAGUACAGGGGAGAUUGCAUGCACAGAUCUGGGUCGACAGAUUGGUGGAUUGUAAGGUAAUGUUAGUAACAGAGUAUAUAGGUUAGUUUUGUGAGGCUAAGUAGCUGCUGCUAACUAGCCAGCAAAGUGAUAUACUCUAAACACAAUAUUAAAUACAUACUUCAUUGAAAAUAAGAAACAAACAUAAGUUGUCUUAAGCGAAUACCUAGAGGUUUGUCAGUCUUACUGCUGUAGCAGAGACAGAUCUUUGUGAUUGGUUGCAUGGCUUGUAUGUCCAAGGAAACUCUGGCUUGGAAAGCAUCUCCAGAUUGGCUGUCGGUAGAAGCGGGUCUAUGCGUUGUUUUUCCAUUCUUCCGGGGAGCCUUUCCUGGGCCUGGAAGCUGAUUUACUCUUUCAGGAAGCGACGCAGGCUAUGCGCAUUUACUUGUUGUUAUGUUGCAGAAUGAUAGCAAAGUGUAAAGUCAGUAAAUAAACUGAUCACAUGUGGUGGAUGCAGUUCCUUUAGCUAACUUGCAGUACAAUAUGUUAGAAACUGCAGGCCAUGGCUAUAACCCGAGAGAGUGAGUAUGUCUCUCACAUGUUCCUUUGCAGGCAGGCCUUUGAUCUCUUUCCGUGGUGGGGUUAGGCCUAAGUGUCCUUAGAGACUUAUGCAUGUCAUCUAGGUUGCCUAGUGAGCCAGCAAGGAGAGAAUGAACAAGAGAAGAGAGGGAUGAUUUAUUAUAGGACAUACCCAGACACCAUAUGAUCAGUCUUUUCAACCGUGAUCAUGUGACUGUGAGUCUGACCUGUUGAUUCAAGAUGGCACCCAAACCAUGUAGGAAGUGCAUCCAUUUUUUUACAUAGUCCUCUCAUUUUUGGAAACCAAAAGUAAUUGUACAGUUAGAUACUCUGCUUUUUCGUGGCCAGCUGUGUUGUUGUUGUAUCUUUAGUUGCACAAGAAAGCUAACAAAAUGUAUAGACCUGAUUCUAGGUGAGGGUUCUAUGUAGAUUCCUGGUAUGCCUGUUGCUGUUAUCAGCUUGUCAGCUCUCAGCGUGGGGACUAGAGAAGUGUCAAGCCAUUGUGUGGUGGAAAAAUCUGAAAUAAAUCAAUCAAUUAUACGAUUGCUCAUUAUUUGAGUACCGGGACACCAAUGCCAGAAAUGUCGCCUGGAGAAAGGUGUCAGAGACAGUGGGUGUUUCGGGUGAGUUUGAAAAAUUAGCAUUUUGAAGGGUAGUACUUUACUUUCUUGAAAGGUAGCUUAGCUUAGCAGCUGUGAAUCUUUGAGAUAUUGUGAUGCUCCUAUAUUUAUAGACCACUAUCUUAAAGGUACAGUCUCUCCUAAUUUGCAUUAAACAAGCGGGAAUUUUGGAUUAUGUUGAAUGAGCGGAAAUACAUUUUCAGCAGGACUUCGUAACACCAUCCAGUGCCCACCACAUAUUUUUUUGACACGCCCCCAAGCAGCCAGGCGAUGCGUCGACAUGCGACGUGGACACUCACCGUAAGCCUCAAAAAACAGAGUAUCCCGGUUAAAGUUUCAUUAAAAUUACAUGAAAAAGCUAUGGAGUUCCGGAACAAACUCAUAUGGAUGGGUGAGACGAGUAUUAGCCUGUAUCGAAGUCAUGGUAUUGCACUGAGCUGUUGUAUUGUGAAGAGUCUUAUGUCUAAAGUAGUGUAUUUUGACUCUGUAAAAUGUCUCACAGUAAGAGAAUUCUUAUAAUUUCUUCCCACCAAAACUUUAUGCUCAUUAAUCCAGAGAUGUAUUUAUUGUCUAUUUGUUUGACCAAUCUAUCGGAAAUUGCAUGGGCCCAUGACAACAUGCAUUGUAUGGUCUCUGUAAUGGUGUCUUUGAUUUUAUUUUUUCGCCUCACAGCAGAAAGGUUCUGGGUUUGAAUCCAGCCUGGGUCUUUCUGUGUGGAGUUUGCAUGUUCUCCCUGUGUCUGUAUGGGUUUCCUCCGCGUACUCCAGUUUCCUCCCACAGUCCAAAGACAUGCAGGUAGGCUAAUUGGAGACUCUAAAUGGCCUAGGUAUCAGUGUGUCAGUGAAUGAUGAGUGAAUGGUGUGUGUACCCUGUGAUAGAUUGGUGGCCUGUCCAGGGUGUAUUCCUGCCUCUUGCCCAAUGCAUGUUGGGAUAGGCUCCAGCACACCCCCCACAACCCUGCCCAGGAUAAGCAGGUAUAGAUAAUGGAUGGAUGGAUGGAAAACACAUAUGAAUACAUCUGCAGUGUGGGUCUUUUUAGAGUAAAUUAUUCCUACUGGCCAACAGACCUGCCUUCACCACAUUUUUAAGGAGUGCUGAGUUCAGAAAAUUCAAACGUAUCACUGAGGGAUAACUAUUUUUCCAUCAAAGUUCAGAUAAAACAGGUUUUAUUUAAAGAGGAGCAAAAUUUGCAGGUAAUUCAUAUCACACAUAUACACUGUUAAUUUUUUUCUACGCCAUUACAUUUGUCGCCACUAAGCUGCAAUCAAUUUAUGAGCUUCGUAAUGGGAUGGAUAUGGGUUACUUCUACAGAAAAAAAAAACAUAUCAUGAUCAGCAUAUUCAUGCAUAGUGAAUAUUAUUUCAAGUGCUUCAUUAGACUCUUUGAAAAUGGCAUAUUGGACCGGCAUGCAUUUUGCUCAAAAACACUGAUGAGGGUUUCUCUAUUUUCCUGGUGGAAUAAUCUAAAAGCAUCUUAAUUAUAUUGCAAUGUAAUCACUGCCAAGUGUACCCGCCAAUAAAGUGCUUCCCACGCAGAACGUUGAAGACCUCGGUGUCUGUGAAGAUAUAAUAAAAGAAAAAUCCCAUGAAAUGACAACUCAGGAAACAAGAUACAUUCAACAGUCACAUGUGAAGUCACCACUUUGACGGAUAUGCAAAUUAAGUUGAUUAUCCCUGCUACUGUAGAUUCACUAAGCCUGAAUCAUGGCCGCACGUUGCCUGUAUUUUUCUAGAAUUUAAUUUUUUUUGUAUUUAUUUAUUUAUUUGCAACUGGGUUCAGCUUCUAGGUUGUGGAGAUCAUGAAAAUCAAUUCAAAUAUUGAGUGAUGUGGUAUAAAUUCAUUCCUGAUUUAAGGAUAAAUAAGAUGAGUAAGUAAACAGUCUCUGUAUUGGAUGAAUAAACCCUAAUCAUAAUCCUUUGUACAAAAUGUGAAAAAGUGUCCCACAGAAAUGAUUUGUAUUUGAAUAUUGUAAAGAUUGUCAAUAUUUAAAUAUAAGAUUCAUUUUUAAAGUGUAAAACAUAAAAUUGACCAAAAAUAUGAUUGAUAAAACUUCUUGGGGAAGCAAAUUGUUCAGCACACAGAGAUAUAUUCCCAAGAACUGUGUUCACUGUUUUCAUUUGAAAAGGGAAGGUUAGAGAAAAGGAUUGGCGUCUUAAAGCUAGCAAUGGUUUUGCUUUAUAGAACAGAAAUUGCUGGGAAAUAAUGAUAAACUAUUUUCCUUAUAAAAAUUAAAUUAUUAUUCAUAAAACAUUAAGCAUGGCUGACAGCCAAUCAAAAUAAAGCACUUAUACCAGCAACAUAUCAUUUAUUAACAUUAAGUGUGGUGACUGGAUUUUUGACAUUUUUUACAUGCAUUUUCUUUUAUUUAUGAUGUUUUGCAAGAUGACAGCAUUCAAAAAUUGAAAAUUAUACAGAAGUUAUAAGUUUGAAAUUCAGACUGGUAGGAGUUUCUAUUUAAAUGAAGGACUCUAUUCAUCAAGCACUCUUGUGUUGACCCUGUGUGUAUUAUACUGUGCAGGGUGUAACAGCAGCGGUGCAGUGGUGGUGUGUGGCUGGGAAGCGGGGUGGCGGCAGCUUCACGGACCGGCGCUAUGCUGGGGAGGCGGGCGACCUGCUCGGCCAUGACCUGCGUGGCGUGGCUCUCUGCUGCCCCUGUUGGCUUCAAUGAGCGUCUACAUACUUUCCUCCAUGUCGCAGCUAUAGCAUCCGCGAAGCAUCCGCGAAGCAUCCGCGAAGCAUCGCCCGAGCGGGACGCGGCUGGAACCUGGGGAACGACCGCAGGUAGCUUCCCGAAUGUGCACGCGGCUGUGCUGUGAGGCGCUCAACACCGG